AAAUCUGUCCCCAACCGAGAACAUACUCAGGCUUGAAGAACGAGGAGUGCGCUGGGGCUGGAGCCUCAUGGAGAUGCUGUGGCAGAGACGUGUCUUCUGAGCUGACCAAAAUCAGGAGAUGAUGCUUUGGCAUGUGUGGAUGUGAAGGGGAUCUUCAAACAGUGAGAUGGGGGCCAAGCCGGAGCCCAGGGUGAAGAUGAGGAGCGGAUGUCCCAGCUCUGGAGCUCUGUCUGUCCGGCUGGCUCAGCAUCACGCAGCAGAAGGAAACCCCAAGCAAACAUGGGAAGUGUUGGCACCGUGGUGGCUCUAGGCCCGUCCUGCCAAAUGGCAUCUCACAACUGCGGCCACCACGCUCCGGAGGUGGAGCCACCGUCAUCCCCAUGCAGAAGAGAGACGGUUUGCUGUGGAGGUUGAAGAGUUCUUGAAGGUAGAAAGGAGAUAGCCUUGCGGGUUGAAAUGAUGCUUAAAAUGUGGCAAAGAACCAGAGGAAGGGAAGAGGGGAGUGCUGUGAGGAGCAGAACUGAUGGGAAUGAGAUCAGGUAGGAAUUAAUCCAGCCCGCAGUGACAUCCCAUCCCUCUGCAUUCCCACGGAGCGCUCUGCCGAGCCAUCGCUGCAGCCGCUCCUCAUCCUUGGCUACAGACGGAGUUCGGCUGUGGGAUGACGAUGCGCUCGGUGAGCAGACAGGGGGCUGCAGCUUUGGUCUGUGCUUGACCCCUGGUGAUGUCUUCUUGAAAUGGGACUAAAGGUGCCAGCAAGGAGGCUCCUCUGUGGGAAGGGCUGGGAGCCCGGGUUCCUGCUUCUGCCUGCACCUCCCUCCCCGUCCUUCCCUUUCUGCCCUCUCGCAUCUUGCCUUUCUCAAUCACACUUUCUCCAAGUCUCUUUUGCAACUAGUUUGGGUGGAUCACUGGGACCAAGAGCCCAGGGAGGGGGUGGAAGCUGGGAUGCGUGGGAAAUUGUGUUUGCAGAACCCUCUCAAACCUGUCAGAGAAAAUAAUCCACCUGCUAGGAACUAAAUCUGGGCAAUGAAAAGGUGCUGGACUUUCUUGCUAAACUGAUAGAGUGCGUCCAUAGUGACACGCACCCGUGCCCACGCCACCACCAUGGGCACCUGAGCAGCGCUGGCAGGAAUGGCUGCUCGAGCCCCUCUGUCAGACGUGCACAGAGGAUUUCGGAAACGGCCGAGUUCUUUCUCGCAUUGGACCAUCCCCAUCCAAGGCCUGGGUGUGUUUUCCUGGCAGAGGAUGGACAAACACCACCAGGAGCCUUGGGGUUCUUGACAAAUCCCCAAAUGUUUCCACGUCUUUCUUGGAAAGAGGAAUAGUAAGUCACUAAAUCUCCUGCAGGUAAUAGGAGAACAACGCAAGAGGGAUAUGACAACUCCUGUAGAGUCAGCAACUGGCUUUUACAAAUUCCCCAGAGAAUGGGUCCUGUGGCAGCUGCAGUAACUGAAGUGUUUCCAAAGCACUGCACAGACUUUAACUGUGAUGCUCAUUGAUUUAUUAAAGCCAGUGUGGGCUUUUGUUGUAUCUUCUGACUCAAACUGAAUGCAAAAUAACAGGCGUUUUGGCCCAAUGGAUUGUCUUUCCAUGUCCAGAAGCACAUAAAUGGAGGAUUUGGUUCUGGAGAAACCCUGCCCUUAUUGCUCUGACGACUGCCAAGGCCAACACACCGAACACCAGAGCACCAAACCUUCCGCCACACCUGCUGUUCCCAUCCAGAGCAGCACAUUUAAGCCCAAAGUGUGUCAGGAACCUCGAACACUUGGUGUUUCCCUUGCAGAGAUGCAGGCGAGGCAGUGGGGGUUGAGACCUUUGGUUUCGUUUCCCACAAAGAUCCUGCUGCCGUUGCCGCCAAGCGCAGAUGGGACAGCACCAAGCAGAGCAGCAAAUGUGAGAAGCCAAGUGAGGUUUUGGACUCUUGGUAAUGAGAUGUGGUCUCUGUGGGUGGUGAGGAAAGGCUUUAACAAAGGCAUUUGUUUUCCAUUCCACAGACAGAAACUGUGUGUUCAGUUGAGUUGCUCGGUUGAUGUUGAUCACUUUUCUGCAGCAUGUACAGAUGUUGGAUUGACUGUUGCCCUGGGGGGAGUGCAGGGAGAAUGGAGCAACCCAGCCCUCAUAUUCCCACACCCCAGCAGGGCAGGGACAACUUACAGGGAGCAGCUCUAUGGGGGCACUGGAUCCUGGAAAAGGAAGUUGGGUGCAUAUGGGCUGAGACAAUGCAUGUAGGGUGAAUAUAAAGCGGGGGCCUUUAUAGUCAUUCAAGAGCUAAUGAGAUGUUACAGAUCUUUUUGUGUCAUGGAUACUUUAAACGCCAUGGGGAGGACCACACAUCUUUCUGUUAACCAGGACAAGCUCAGUGCUGGGGCUUCUGCUGUUCCCUGCGCCCCAGAGCCUGCGCUGGGCUGGGGGUGAGGGUGAGGAUGAUGGGCUGGGGAUGAAGCUCUGUGUUGUGCUCUGAGCACGCAGCACCUCAUGCUGUAUCUCACGUGGGGGUUCACAUUUGGAGAGACGGGAUGGGGGAGCUGAGGCACAGGAGCUGACUGCGAUCUUCCUGGUGAGGGUGUCAGAGCCUGGCCCAGGCUGCCCAGGGGGGUUGUGGAGUCUCCUUCUGUGCAGACAUUCCAACCCGCCUGGACACCUUCCUGUGUAACCUCAUCUGGGUGUUCCUGCUCCAUGGGAGGAUUGCACUGGAUGAGCUUUCCAGGCCCCUUCAACCCCUGACAUGCUGGGAUUCUGUGAUUCUGUGUGCACUGAAGUAGAACCGAUGGCUUUGUCUGCGCUCUGUGUGGACGGUCACUCUGGAGCCCUUAAACCUCCACAGCCUCGGCUGCUCUUGCCCAUGUGCUUUCACCAGCUUCUUUCUCCAUCAUUCUGUGCCUCCUGCCUCUGCGGUGGGAUCUGCCUUUCCCCCCUGUUCCUCUCUGUCCCCUGACUGGGGGUGACGCCUCCUCUUCCUCUGCUCUGCUCUUGAUGGACCCAGGGAAGUCAGCAGGGAGUUUGCAGCUUCUUGAUGGUCUUAAGGGGUGAAAAGGGUGCUGUGUUCCCCUUCCCACCCUGUGCUGUGCCCUCGCCUCUUCAGGCGAAGAUUUUGUAGGUGGUCACACACAGAACUCCAUGAACAUGAAAGCCCCAAACCUCAUGCCAUGGAGGCCCCAUCUACAGCCGAUAGCAAAGUUCAUUACCCUACAGGGUCCUGCAUAUGAGCUCCCAAACUGCCCCGCUCUCCCCCCAAAAUAAUUAAUUAUAAUUGAUAAUUGAUAAUUAAUUACCAGUCCUCCUAUGAGGAGUGGCUGAGGGACCUGGGGGGUUCAGCUGGAGAACAGGAGCUGAGGGGAGACCUUCUGAUCUCUGAACUGCCUGAAAGAAGCUUGGACCCAGGGGGGGUCGGGCUCUGCUCCCCAGAAACAAGCGCCAGGAGCAGAGGAAACGGCCUCAAGUUGCGCCAGGGGAGGUUGAGGUUGGAUGUAGGGAACAAUUUCUUCCCCAAAGGGCUGUGGGGCAUUGGAACAGGCUGCCCAGGGCAGUGCUGGAGUCACCAGCCCUGGAGGGGUUUAAAAGGUGUUUAGACGAGGUUCUCCGGGACAUGGGUUAGCACCAGAGUUAGGUUAGGUUAUGGUUGGACUUGAUGAUCCUGAGGGUCUCUGCCAACUGAAAUGAUUCUAUUCUAUGAAUUAACAAGGUCAGAACAGUUGUUUUCCCAGAGACCUCCACCAUGCUCUGGUGGCCUCAAGCUGAUGAGCUACACGGUGCUGCCGUAACCCGGUGCCAAGCUGAGCAUUUGGGGGAGGCAGGAGCUGGGUGGGGAUGGUGCAGGGAGUUGCUCUGCCUGCCCCUGGGCACCGAGGCCUGGGCACAGCCCAGAUACGCAGCUCAGUGGACCUAAGGCUGGGCUGAGUUUGACCUGGAUAGCCAAAUGCUUUGAUUUGCUUUUUAGUUUCUGCUCCCCACCCUUCAGUCUUUCCUCCUUCUUCCCAGCUGCAAAGAUAUCCAGCCAUCUGUUUGACCUCGCUGCUUUCCUCACCUUGACUGAUGAAGGACAGAUGGAUGGAUGGAUGGAUGGAUGGAUGGAUGGAUGGAUGGAUGGAUGGAUGCUCAAGCAUUCCCAGGCUCACCAUGAACUUGAACAGAUGAAACAGGCAGCUGUGCCCUCCAGGGCUGGAUGAUGGCUCAGGCCAGGCUCAGCAGCCAGCUUUCUGGGACUGGAAACCUAAAAAGCACUGAAAGGGCUUGUGGUCACUGGUGGCCUCCAGACACAACUCAGGUGCCACACGUCCCAGGAUUGGACAGUUACUCCAGCGAACCCGUGCAUGGUUGGCAACACAGUGUGAGCUUUGCUCUGCUGAGGAGGGGACUGGGGACACGGCUGGAAGACACUGUGCUUAAGGAGCAUUUAUUAGCACUGUCGGCUUGUGCAAACUGGAACAGCAGCCUCAUUUUUCCAGUCUGUUAUGAGCUGGACCAGUGCAAAAUCCAGAGAUUAAAGGUCUGGAUUUCUCCCCAGCUCUCCUGCAUUAAAAGUGUUUCCAGGCCUCCUGAGGAAAAGUCCCAGACCCCCUGUGAAUCCAGGUAUUUUACUCAGCUCAGUGGGACAUACAUUGUGUAUGGGAAAUCAAAUCCUGUGGGCAGAGAUGAAGCUUAGGAAGGGAAAGAAUUACUUGUCUGAAAUAGAGCAAAAAAGUGCAUGUUAUACGAUGUAUAACAGAGAGAAAAGAGAGUGCAAGCAAAUUAGAUUUCUUUCUUUUAUUAUACAGGAUUGUAUGUACAAGGUCACCUUUCUCCCAAACAUCAGCAUCACAGUCUGUUUAUAGCAAAAACUGCAGCUCAUCUCUCAAAGCCUAGAAAACAGCUCUACAGAGGCUCAGUACAACACAAUGGAUCAGUUGUAUAGGAACCGGAAAAAGGGAGGGGAAAGCACGGUUAUCCCUUUAAUCCCUCAUGAAUUAUUUGAAACUAAGAAAUGCAAAUAAAACCUUGUGCUUCAAGAGCCAUGCCUGCUCCAGGACGGCCCUCAGGGAGGCAAGCGUUGCCCUGGGACCUGUCUUCCCCUCCACCCCUCAAAGAGUGAUGCCGUAGACAAGGUCUGGCUUUGAGUGCUGGAGCAGAAAGCAGGAGUCCCCUUUCAGAGCACCCUAUAGACCUGGGGGGGGCACACGGUUUGUGGGAGAGUUUGACCGAGGAGGUCUGGACACUUGCGGAUUCAAAGCACUGAUGUGUGUGUUUGAAGAGGAAGAGAGGAGAUGGGCAGGACACACGUGAUCUGAAUAAAGUGCUACAUGAGUCUCAGUCCCACCCACCCCUGAACUCCGAAAAAACGCAUAAACCCAUGAAGGAGGAAGGAACAAGAAGAGAAAAGGCCAAGAGCCUUCCUGGGUGUUGUGGUGUAAGGGGGUUCCCACGUCAAGUGGCAUGCUGGCUGCUGCCCUCUGCUCGCAGGACAUGGCACGGGUCAAAAGCAGCCGGAAUUUGGGCAGGAAGGGGAGGCGCUUGCACGCCCGCAUGCAUCGUGCUCAGGGUGUUCACCGUUACCAGUCAGGCUGGGCAUGCAGGAGCAGGAGCUGUCGUGCCGCUCUCCCGGGGGGCCAGGUCGGUGUGAAGACCCAGCGAGGCUGUGGCACGGGGAGAUGCUGGCGCCCUGGGGAAGGGGCGGAUGUCCCUGGCACGGGGCUGGAGAAGCGAGUGGAUCACAUCCCUUCCAGGGAGCAGCUGGGCCAAGAAAAGGGUCUAAUCCACACGUGCCUGCACGCCCUCACUCUGCAGAGAGUUGCUCAGCCUUUACGUAGUGGUUUCCCAACGGAGAAGGAGGAGCCCAAACCAAUGAAGAUGACGUAUGCUUUGCUCCUCCUGCUCGGGAUCACUUGCUUGCCUGCAGGCAGCCUCCUGUCCCCUUCCCUCUCUCCAAGCAGCUGCAAAGAGCACAGCACACGCGCCAGCACCGACUCCUUCCCGCCUGGACGCAACCGGGUACCUGCGGCAGCUCAUGGGGCAAAAGAGACACGACAGGAGGUGACUGUUCUGGGAGAAGAGCUCACCCCACAGCCUCAACACGACCUUUAGCGUGAGAACACAAAUUGUCCAAACUGAGACAGUACUUUUCCUCCAGUCAGCAAAUGCUCUGGCUCUCACCCAGCACAGGAAAGAACGUCUUUAUCAGGUCAGGCUUUUUUCUCCCUCCUCUCCUACAAAAAGCUCUGUAACAUGUCUGACUCAUUUGGUGACACAACCACUCUCUUGUUAUCCAGUCGGUGGUGGUUAUGGGUUGUGCAGGGUUCGGUUCCUGCCUCCGCUGCUGCAGAGCUCCAAAUCCAUCGCACAGGGUAGUGGGGAUUCACUGGGAUGAUGACUUUUGUCUUUGCUUUACAGAUGGGUGGAAGAUGUCGGGCCGGGUUUCUCCUUUUGAAUGCCAGGCAGAGAUGACAGCAGCACUUUGAUUCAGCUUGUCUUGCUCACAGGGUCAGGACAGGGUUUAGCCUCGUGCUUUCCUCACGCGGUUACUCACUGCUGCUCUGGAGAGGAGACGGAGAAGGUGAAAAAAAAGAUUUUCCCUGGAAGCGCCUGGCCCUGUGGGUGACUGGCUGCGGAUGGAUGUCCACAUGCACACUCGUCUCCACACCGUCCCGCACACCCACGCACAGACUCAAGCUUCAACUUGGCUGAGCUGUUGGCGAUGGCAGCUGAUCUAGCGAAGAGCUUGACGGGGAGCGUCGGCUUCACACGCCGGACAAGGGGGAUGGUGACCUGUGGCCACUUCACAGGGACCACCCUGGGCCCCGGUACUCUAAGAGCAUGGAGACAGGGGCAGGAUGGGUGUGAAGCAGCCCCGCAGCACCCCCAGCCAUCAGUGCCACAACCAAAGCCAGGCAGCUGGUGGUGAGCCAGGGCACAGCCCGGCCAUCAGACCCCACUGUCCCCCACCUCCCCCUGAAUGUGAUUAUUUCCUCGCACAGUUGUGAGUGUAUUUUCCUCCCGUGCUCCCACAUAAACACGUGUAACAUUC